GAUGAAGAACGCAGCGAAAUGCGAUAAGUAAUGUGAAUUGCAGAAUUCAGUGAAUCAUCGAAUCUUUGAACGCACAUUGCGCCCCCUGGUAUUCCGGGGGGCAUGCCUGUCCGAGCGUCAUUACAACCCUCAAGCUCAGCUUGGUGUUGGGCCCCGCCGCCCCGGCGGGCCCUAAAGUCAGUGGCGGUGCCGUCCGGCUCCGAGCGUAGUAAUUCUUCUCGCUCUGGAGGUCCGGUCGUGUGCUCGCCAGCAACCCCCAAUUUUUUUCAGGUUGACCUCGAAUCAGGUAGGGAUACCCGCUGAACUUAAGCAUAUCAAUAAGCGGAGGA
rnacentral:misc_RNA from 1 species